GUGUAUUUAGAAAGGAGAGUUAGUUAGCACUCCCCUAGACAAGGAUGGAAACACAUAAGGUUUAGACUUACACACUUCUUCUUAUACAUAUGUGAACUUAAAAUAUAGACUUCU